rnacentral:misc_RNA from 1 species
UAGGGUUUUUUAAAAUUAUAAAUUGCUCAAAAUAGGGGAGAAAAAACCCACUGAAUUUUUGUGUGUUUGAGUUUUAACUUCUUGGUCUACUUUUUAACGGAUGUUGUUGUAUUAACUUUAAACACCCUUUUCUACUUUUUCACGUAAAUGGAUGAAGUUAGUAAAAUUUUAAAAUGUAUAGAAUUACAACCAAGCCUUUAAAUAAAAUUUAAUAAUUGGAAUAGAAAAUCUAAUCCUACAUAGUAUUGAUAUGGGUAAACUGUUAUGACAUAAUUAUUGAAAAAGACUGCAUGGAAAGUGCACAGGGUAAGUGCUCUCUGAAAAAUGUUUAUUGUGUUUGAAAAAAAGUGUUGACUUUAAAUAUUGAUUUGGACAACAAUUCAUUUCUAUGUAAGAAACCCUUUGUUGUCAAUGAUUUUUCAAUAAAUCAUCAACUGAAC